CAUGCCAGUCUGCAAAGUGCAGAGCAGUGCUCUCUCCUGAGUUCAUCUGAGGUUUCUGCCGGCUGAUUGAAAAUGGAGGGAGAGAGAGAGUUAGAGAGCAGCAGGGACUGCAGCCGCUUGGGGAAGGCUUGGGGAAGCCGCUUCUCUUUGACCAAAGAGAAGAUGUUCAUAUAGGAAGUUAGUUGUGUCAUGAAUUUGAGAAGACUGAAAUGUCAACCCAGAAGUUAGGAGAGUAAAGUAAAGUUAGGGGAGUAAACUCACUCUGGAACAGAAGUCUCCAGGAAAGGAUUUUAUACAACAGAACGGCACUGCUGGUUUGUGAUUUUUGGAGCCCAGGUUGACCUAGAAUUUGUAAUUCCCUGGCUUAGCCUUACUCUCAAGGGUGCUGGUGUCUGAGGCGCACACACUGCCACACCCAAUGGAAUAGACCUAGAAACAUAUAGUAGGUUUGGUUUUGUUUUUUUUUUCUCUCUCUCUCUUUAAUGAGAAUCUUUUUCUCACUGGAAAAUUAUACUUUUUAUUUGUGGUAUAAAAGGAAAACUUUUUGCAAACAUGCCAAGGAAAAUAUUUAAAAUGUAAAUACAUUAAAUGUGUAUAAAGUAUAUAUAUAUAUCUCCAGUCAAAUGUCCAACAGUCUGGAGUGUCUGCUUCUACUCGUCCUUAAGUUGCUCGCAUGUGGACACACACGUGUACAGAUUUGAAAACAAAAACUGUGCUGCAUAACCUGUCUGCAAGCUGAUUUUUGUGUGUGUGUGUUUCACACCAUUAAUUAUGAACCUCUUUCCAUGUCUUUUAUUGCUCUGCAGUAUCAUCAAUAAUGCAGUUUUUUCCUCCUCCAAUAAAAGAGCGUUUACCAUCCAGGCCCUCUUUCAGCUAGUCAAUAGAAAAGCACAGAGGAGUCCUGAAAUAAAAUGGCUCUUUGCACAAUUU
rnacentral:lncRNA from 1 species